rnacentral:rRNA from 1 species
GACGUAGGAGGCGAGCGUUAUCCGGAUUCACUGGGCGUAAAGCGCAUGUAGGCGGAUGUCUAAGUCGUGUGUUAAAGCCCCUGGCUCAACUGGGGGGGGUCAUGCGAGACUGGAUGACUUGAGGGCAACAGAGGCACGUGGAACUCCCGGUGUAGCGGUGGAAUGCGUAGAGAUCGGGAAGAACACCCGUGGCGAAGGCGGCGUGCUGGGUUGCAACUGACGCUGAGAUGCGAAAGUGUGGGGAGCAAACGGG